UCUUGCGCAAUGGCCGAAAGGCUGACGCAGCGACGCCGCGUGCGGGAGGACGCCCCUCGGGGUGUAAACCGCUGUCAGGAGGGAGGAAGGGUCGGGGGAGGCAAUGCCCCUUGACUUGACAGUACCUCCAGAGGAAGCACCGGCUAACUCCGUGCCAGCAGCCGCGGUAAUACGGAGGGUGCAAGCGUUGUUCGGAAUUAUUGGGCGUAAAGGGCGCGUAGGCGGUCCGGUAAGCGUGUGGUGAAAGCCCGGGGCUCAACCCCGGGUCUGCCGUGCGAACUGUCGGACUCGAGCACUGUAGAGGCAGGUGGAAUUCCGAGUGUAGCGGUGGAAUGCGUAGAGAUUCGGAGGAACACCGGUGGCGAAGGCGGCCUGCUGGGCAGUGUCUGACGCUGAGGCGCGACAGCGUGGGGAGCAAACAGG
rnacentral:rRNA from 1 species